rnacentral:tRNA from 3 species
GGCGCGGUGGCGAAGUAGUAACGCGACGGUCUGCAAAACCGUUAUGCAUGGGUGCAAAUCCCAUCCGCGCCUCAA